rnacentral:rRNA from 1 species
UACAGAGGGGGCAAGCGUUAUUCGGAAUUAUUGGGCGUAAAGGGCGCGUAGGCGGCUUGGCAAGUGGAAGGUGAAAUCCCUCGGCUUAACCGAGGAACUGCCCUCCAAACUGCUUCGCUUGAGACCGGGAGAGGUGAGUGGAAUUCCCAGUGUAGCGGUGAAAUGCGUAGAUAUUGGGAGGAACACCAGUGGCGAAGGCGGCUCACUGGACCGGUACUGACGCUGAGGCACGAAAGCGUGGGGAGCAAACAGG